UACGGAGGGUGCGAGCGUUGUCCGGAAUCACUGGGCGUAAAGGGCGCGUAGGUGGACUUCUAAGUGCCUUGUGAAAUCCCACGGCUCACCCGUGGAACUGCUGGGCAUACUGGGAGUCUUGAGCCACCUAGGGGCGAGCGGAACAAAUGGUGGAGCGGUGAAAUGCGUAGAUAUCAUUUGGAACGCCAACGGAGAAAUCAGCUCGCUGGGGGUGUGCUGACGCUGAGACACGAAAGCCAGGGGAGCGAACGGG
rnacentral:rRNA from 1 species